rnacentral:lncRNA from 1 species
UUCUUUUUUUUUAAAAAAAAUUAUAUGGACUUUCUAAUUUAUCAUUUUGAAAAAACUAAUAUUAAAAAUCUUAUUUUUAUAUUUCAAAUUAUUUUAAAUAUAUUCUUGCAGUUAAAUUUUUUUAAUUAACUAUUAAUAUCCUUAUGAAAUUACUAUUUUGUCCUUUCAAAUAUACUAUUCUAUCCUCACCAACUUUUCUUAUUUGCUCUCUUAAAUUGGAGGCAAAAAAAAAGUUUAAUUUUUGAUCUUUUCAAGUAUACUUCUCUAUUAUUACUAACUUUUCUUCUUGGCUCUUAAGUUGAAGAUAAAAGAGAUAUUUUAAUUUUUUUAAUUCUGUUAACUAUUUAACUCAUAUUUAAUUCAAAUUAACUUAACGGAUAGUAACUGCGGAUGUAUUUUUGAAUAACGGAAUAUAAGAAAUAUAUUAGAAAUAAAAAAAUAAAUAAAUUAGAUAUUUUCGAAAUUUUGAGAAGUAUACAGACAAUUAUCCCUGUAUUUUACUUCACAGUAUUUUAUUUCAUAUUUAUUUUUUUGAAUUAUGGAUCAGUA